GGUCAUCUUUGAAUCUUCCUAAUUUGGGGUUAAAUUUGGUUUCCAUGAGGUUUUGAGGAGACCCUUUAUGAAUCUAGAAAUUGGGUUUUAUCAGAAUCGUGUUAAGAAAGAAUCUUGGAGGACAGUAUUGAUUUUGGCUUAUCAGAGCCUUGGAGUUGUCUAUGAAUUUUGUCUAAUAUAAUCUGAUGAGGGUGUGCACAUUUUUUUAUUAAAUGGGUAUAUUUGGAAUGUGGGGUGUGUGGAUUAAGAUAAAUACCUAAAAAUUAAAUUGCUAAGUGUGUGGAGUGAGAAAUGAUGUACACAGAGAUAAUGUGGUGUGCGAAAAUAAAAUUUCCCUAAUAAUUGUCUUUUAAAACACAACUUCUUGUUGGUAUUGUGACUUAAAUCCCCUCA